rnacentral:rRNA from 1 species
GGACUCAGUUGAGGCUCCGUAAUCGGAAUGAGUACACUUUAAAUCCUUUUCUGAGGAUCUAUUAGAGGGCAAGUCUGGUGCCAGCAGCCGCGGUAAUUCCAGCUCUAAUAGCGUAUAUUAAAGUUGUUGCAGUUAAAAAGCUCGUAGUUGGAUCUCGGGAAGGCUUGAGGUGGUGGCGCGGCACUGAAACUGGGCCCCAGAUGCCCAGGCUGUGUGCACUGCCCUGGCCGUCUCUAAUGGCGGGGGGGUCGUCCGACAUGGGGGCUCGUCACAGAGUACCCCGGGACGUCCCUGGGUGGUGAAAAGCCCAGUCACCGGUGACCUUAACUGGCUGCCGGGGGCACCUGCCUCGUUUACUUUGAAAAAAUUAGAGUGUUCAUGGCAGGCUGAAGCUGGCCUGAAUCACGUUGCAUGGAAUAAUGGAAGAAGCUCUCGGGCUCACAUUUUGUUGGUGGUAAGGAUUGACAGACUAAGAGAUCUUUCUUGAUUCGGUGGAUGGUGGUGCAUGGCCGUUCUUAGUUGGUGGAGCGAUCUGUCUGGUUAAUUCCGAUAACGAACGAGACUCUAGCCUAUUAAAUAGUCCAGGGAUCGUGAAUCGACCCCUGCAGGUACUUCUAGAGGGACAACCAGCGAUUUAGCUGGCCGAGAAAGAGCCAUAACAGGUCUGUGAUGCCCUUAGAUGUUCGGGGCGGCACGCGCGCUACACUGAUUAUGACAGAGGGUCCAGUACCCGUCUGAUAGGGCAGGUUAACCCGUGGAGAAACGUAAUCGUGCUAGGGACUGGGGCUUGAAAUUCUUGCCCAUGAACGAGGAAUUCCGAGUAAGCGCUGGUCAUCAGCCGGUGUUGAUUAAGUCCCUGCCCUUUGUA